rnacentral:tRNA from 1 species
GGUGGGUUGGCUCAGUGGUUAGAGCGUAGGUCUCGUAACCGAAAGGUCGACGGAUUGAAUCCUGCUAGAGGCUG